GCAUCACCUACACUCAAGACGCUAAUAUUGGCCAGAAGCGGUUAACGAAAUGAAACACAGCAGAAACCUCCACCCUGGCUGCUUUUGGCGCUUCGAGGAUAUUGGAAGUAAUGAGUCAGAACCGUGAUGAACUAUCUCAGGGGUUCGUGCCUCCACGGCUUGCCCCACAUUUGGCACCGAUAACCAAGCACUGGCUGGAACAACCAUUAUGAUAAUAUAGCAGGGACGUCUAGCUUCUCUUCUAGUGAGUGCCCUGACAGAGGGCUGGAAUAUUCAACUGGUGAGCACUCUGAUGUGGAUUUUAACGGCUCUUUAAAUGAUUAAGUUGGACAUGCUCCAAAGUAGAAAAGUCACAGAUAAAAUU
rnacentral:lncRNA from 1 species